GUUGAGUUUUGUAUGAACUAAUCUAGCUUCACUAAAAAAAAAAAAAAAAAAAAAAAAAAAACUACAGCUUUGGACAAAAGUCUAUAGCCAGUGCAUUCGUAACUCCCCAUGCACAAGAGCUGACUGUGGCUCUGGGAAGGCAUUUUACUCAUUUGCUUUCUUUUUUCUUAUAGUCUUCUUGUCCAGUUCUCAGGUGUUUACCACCUAUUUGAAUUUCACCUGGGUGGGUACUGUGUUUGAGAAAGUCCCAGGACUUGACAGCCGUAUAGGCCUCAUAAAAGGCAGCUCUGUUCUGGGUUUGAAAGUUCUUGACUUCUACAGAGUUUGUACUCUGUGUACUCGCUCCUCUGUCAAGUUUGAUUAAAAUUGGCCAAGGGAUCCAAAAGUCAUCAGGAGAGGAAAUGGCUGGUUCUCCACAGAGUCACAGAAGGUUUGUCUCCUUGGGAGAUGAAGCUGAAAAGAAAUAGCCAUGUGGGUGAGAUGGGUUGGAGAUAAAUAUUUUCUUUGUUGUGUUUCAUAUUGUAGAAGUGCGCGGGCACAUAAAAGACCAUAGGAG
ensembl:lncRNA